GGGCCGAUAAUUUAACCUGGUAGAAUGCCGCUUUCGCAUGGCGGCCAUUCGGGUUCAAAUCCCGGUCGGUCCA
rnacentral:tRNA from 1 species